rnacentral:misc_RNA from 1 species
GAGUAGAGGGUACCCGAAGUCGGUAGUCUAACCGCAAGGAGGACGCCGCCGAAGGUAUGUUUUGUAAGGAGGGUGAAGUCGUAACAAGGUAGUCGUACCGGAAGGUGCGGCUGGAUCACCUCCUUUCUAAGAGAAAGGUAAAAAAAAGCUUCGCAUUUUUAACGGUCGAUUUUCUUACGAAAAUCGAGGCUAUAGAUGCACAUAAGCAGAUAAGUGUUAGAUGUACAACACGGGUCCUUUUUGAGAACCGUUACUGUUCUUUCUUUCCUCCCUUUUAUUUAUAUGGGACUGUAGCUCAGUCGGUUAGAGCACU